GAUGAAAGCUGGCGGCGUGCCUAAUACAUGCAAGUCGAGCGAACAGACGGGGAGCUUGCUCCUUUGACGUUAGCGGCGGACGUGUGAGUAACACGUGGAUAACCUACCUAUAAGACUGGGAUAACUUCGAGAAACCGGAGCUAAUACCGUAUAAUAUUUCGAACCGCAUGGUUCGAUAGUGAAAGAUGGCUUUGCUAUCACUUAUAGAUGGACCUGCGCCGUAUUAGGUAGUUGGUAAGGUAACGGCUUACCAAGGCAAGGAUACGUAGCCGACCUGAGAGGGUGAUCGGCCACCCUGGAACGGAGACACGGUCAAGACUCCUACGGGAGGCAGCAGUAGGGAAUCUUCCGCAAUGGGCGAAAGCCUGACGGAGCAACGCCGCGUGAGUGAUGAAGGUCUUCGGAUCGUAAAACUCUGUUAUUGGGGAGGAACAAACGUGUAAGUAACUGUGCACGUCUUGACGGUACCUAAUCAGAAAGCCACGGCUAACUACGUG
rnacentral:rRNA from 1 species